rnacentral:pre_miRNA from 1 species
UCCCUCUCAAAGUGGCUGUGAAAUGCGUUUCCAUCGGUUUGCAUAUCACAGCCAGCUUUGAAGAGCGUCA